AGUUCUAAUUUGUAGAGGAUACUUUUGAUGCGGGCCUUCCGAGUUCCCGGAACGGGACGCCAUAGAAGGUGAGAGCCCCGUCUGGUUGGAUGCCAAAUCUCUGUAAAGUUCCUCCAACCGAGUCGAGUAGUUUGGGAAUGCUGCUCUAAAUGGGAGGUAUAUGUCUUCUAAAGCUAAAUACCGGCCCAGAGACCGAUAGCGCACAAGUAGAGUGAUC
rnacentral:ncRNA from 2 species